UCUCUGCGGAGCACAGUGUCCAAGUCCCUUGGAACAGGGGCCUGAGAGGGUGAGAGCCCCGUGGGGUGCUGUGCGAAGUUUGAGGCCCUGCUGACGAGUCGAGUUGUUGGGAAUGCACUCUAAGCGGGUGGUAAAUUCCAUCUAAGGCUAAAUAUUGGCGAGAGACCGAUAGCGAACAAGUACUGUGAAGGAAAGAUGAAAAGCACUUUGAAAAGAGAGUGAAACAGCACGUGAAAUUGUUGAAAGGGAAGGGUAUUGGGCCCGACAUGGGGAGUGGCACCGCUGUCUCUUGUAGGCGGCGCUCUGGGCGCUCUCUGGGCCAGCACGGUUCCUGCUGCGAGAGAAAGGGUUCCGGAAAGUGGCUCUUCGGAGUGUUAUAGCCGGGGCCAGAUGUCGCGUGUGGGGACCGAGGACUGCGGCUUCUGUCUCGGAUGCUGGCACAACGCGCAAUACCGCCCGUCUUGAAACAUGGACCAAGGAGUCUAACGUCUAUGCGAGUGUUUGGGUGUAAAACCCGUACGCGUAAUGAAAGUGAACGUAGGUCGGACCCUUUGGGGGCACGAUCGACCGAUCCUGAUGUUUAUCGGAUGGAUUUGAGUAAGAGCAUAGCUGUUGGGACCCGAAAGAUGGUGAACUAUGCCUGAAUAGGGUGAAGCCAGAGGAACUGGUGGAGGCUCGUAGCGGUUCUGACGUGCAAAUGAUCGUCGAUUUGGGUAUAGGGGCGAAAGACUAAUCGAACCAUCUAGUA
rnacentral:rRNA from 1 species